rnacentral:lncRNA from 1 species
UGGAAAACAUGGAUGCUUGUUUUCGAUAGUUUUUAUCGAUGUUAAACAUGUUUUUCUAUCGAUGUUCAACACUACUUACUAGAGUGAAAACAAAAACACUUUCAUAACCAAAACAAGCUCUAAUGAGAGGGGGGGAAAGCGGAUAUCGCUUUCAUCUGAUAAGGAUGUAAAACUGGCUACGUCUAGAGUUCCGUUUUUCUUAUUUCUGUGUGUUUACGGUUUGUUAUAUACAUCAUGCCGUUCCAACAUUAACAUAUUAAUUAGCAAAAUCUUUUUGAAUGAUUCGUUUAGAUAUUGUUUACAGGUCGCUAGAUAUAAUUAAACAUAAUUUAUCUGCCAGAACUUACUCGCUUGAUGAAAGGAAAUAUUUAUCGAACUCUGGUUUGUUUACUAAAAGUUGUAAAUGAUAAAAAUGUGAAUAAUGUAUCGAUUUAUGUAAAUCAGUGUUCAAUAGCUUUUAGACCCGUGUCGUAAAAAAAAAGGAGCAGUAAAGUUCGAAGAUCAAGAGGAACGUAAUUAUCUUGAAAUUACUUUUGUCUAUAUACGAAAGGAAAGCGAUUCUCGUCAGUAUUAAAAUUUUGGAGUUUUUCUAACUUUCUCUAGGACAUUCAGCUCUCUCGUUGCUGCAAAUAUCCGAUUUUUUUCCCUCCGUAUAAUUUUGUAGCGUAAUAUAAACUAGACCAUACGAAAAAAAUUAGUUCAGAUGUGUGUCGUUCAUGGACUGAAAUAUGCACCCUAGAUUCUCGUUUAAAUAAUAUAUGUACAGCUGAAGAAAAUACUUGUUUUGAUAUGAAAAAAUUUGUUUUCGGGAGAAUAAAAUACUGUACACUACAGAAUUAUUCUAACAUGGUUUCUUCAUUCCUCAAGAACGCCUAUACACAAUUAAUUGAACUGGAUGAGUGCCUGCAGAAGAAAAAUUUAAACAGGAAAAAUUUUAUUAGAUGCAAUUUUCCGAUUUACAUAUUUAGAUGCAGAGAAUGAUAAAGGAAAAAAUUCGCAUAAUCGGAUAUAAAAAUAUAUAUAUAUAUGUACACACAAAUGGGGGGGAGAGAGAUCUAUUUCACGCAAAUUCUGCAUUAUUUAGAACGUCCUUUGCCACUGUUACCGACGAAAGUUCUUUCUUUAUUCAUGAAUUGAUCAGAGUUAAAUUGGUUAUUUACUUCAUAAAUAUGUAUAGAGGAUACUUCCAGAAUCACUGAUGCGAAAAAAUUAACUGUUAGAAAAAUAUGAUAUUAAAACUAGAGAUUUCAUCAAGAAAUAUUCCAUAUAAACAGUUUCGGUAUAUUAAAAAAAAAAAAAAAAAAAAAAAUUCUAAGAUAGAUAUAAAAACGAUAAACAGGAUAAAAAAAAGUGUUUUCCAUUGAAAAUCGCAACUAAAAAUAAAAAGGAUCGAGCGGAGAUGCGUGAAAUAGAAUUUAGAUCGUCUACUCCUUCAUUUGAAUAGUUAAUGUCUGGUAUAGAGAGAGAGAUGCGUACAUCGAAAUCUAUCGAUUAGUCAUUAAAAUAAAUAAAUCUGGUACAAAUUCCGUAUAGGGUAUCCGGAUAAUUUAACAUUUAUCAUUGGCAACAGUAGUAGUGCCAAUAGUCGAUGGAUAUAUAAUUCGGACGAGUUUUGGAAACGAUCCGUUCCCAUUUUGUAUUCUGGAUUAUAGAGUAUCGAUUUCUUCCUGUUUCGGGGCUUACGAGAGCUAAAAAAAAUCGAGAGCAUCUGUAAAUAAUUGUUAAAUUUUAGUUUAGUUUCGAAGCCACACAUUUUGGCUUUGAAAAAAAAUAUAUAUAUAUAUGUGGCGUGAAUGAUAAAAACACGACAGAUGGGAUCGGGACGACCUUGACGGAUUCAUUAGUGGUGACUCAACAAACUAGUUCGUGAAUAAACGUGUAGGUGUUACGCCAUUCGAGGCAGCAGUUCUGUAAAAGCGAAUAGAUGUGAGGAGACAACACGCAAUUAAUUGUUUUGACUAAAUCUAUAUUUUUAAACUUUAUGUAAUCGGAAACCAUUGGAGAAGCGAGUUACACUCUGGAAAGGAAUGAAGGUGCAUUCAUAAAAUUUUAACUUUUAUUGAGAGCUAGCGGUUUGUCAGCCGUAAAACAAUAAAAAAAAAAUUUGUUUUUUUUUUGAAUAAAAACGAAGAGUCGAUACUACUGCAACCAUCUUUAGUUUUGCGAUUUUAUGCAAAAUUUUAAUUUCGCUUAGCCUCGGGCAUCGAAAAUAUUAAUUAAAAUCGGAACUUUCAAUUUGGCCUCGGUCCAACGGAGUUGUUGUAUGUAAUGAUAAAUUAACAAUGGAUUUCGAGUUAGAAUUUGCAUAAGAGAUAAUGGACAUCGAAUGGUCGUCUUUCGACGAUUCUUCUUGACCUGUAAAAAAAGAAAAAUCGUUAUUGCAAACAUCAUUAAGUUUGUAUAUCUUAAUAACCAUUCCACUUUUAUGUUUGAACUUUAUAAAAUUUUCAACUUUAUUAAAUGUUUU